GAUGAACGCUGGCGGCGUGCUUAACACAUGCAAGUCGAACGGAAGGGCCCAAGCUUGCUUGGGUACUCGAGUGGCGAACGGGUGAGUAACACGUGGGUGAUCUGCCCUGCACUUCGGGAUAAGCCUGGGAAACUGGGUCUAAUACCGGAUAGGACGAUGGUUUGGAUGCCAUUGUGGAAAGUUUUUUCGGUGUGGGAUGAGCUCGCGGCCUAUCAGCUUGUUGGUGGGGUAAUGGCCUACCAAGGCGUCGACGGGUAGCCGGCCUGAGAGGGUGUACGGCCACAUUGGGACUGAGAUACGGCCCAGACUCCUACGGGGGGCAGCAGUGGGGAAUAUUGCACAAUGGGCGCAAGCCUGAUGCAGCGACGCCGCGUGGGGGAUGACGGCCUUCGGGUUGUAAACUCCUUUCGCUAGGGACGAAGCGUUUUUGUGACGGUACCUGGAGAAGAAGCACCGGCUAACUACGUG
rnacentral:rRNA from 1 species